AACGAACGCUGGCGGCGCGUCUUAAACAUGCAAGUCGAACGGUAAGGAAGGAGCUUGCUCCUUUCUGAGAGUGGCGGACUGGUGAGUAACACGUGGGUGACAUACCUUUUAGAUGGGGAUAGCUAUUAGAAAUAGUAGGUAAUACCGAAUGUGACCGUAUCUGUUAGAGGGAUACGAGGAAAGGAGCUAAGGCUUCGCUAAAAGAAUGGCCCGCGGCCCAUUAUGCUUGUUGGUGAGGUAACGGCCCACCAAGGCGAUGAUGGGUAUCCGGCCUGAGAGGGUGGACGGACACAUUGGGACUGAGAUACGGCCCAGACUUCUACGGGAGGCAGCAGUUAAGAAUAUUCCGCAAUGGACGAAAGUUUGACGGAGCGACGCCGCGUGGAUGAAGAAUGCCGAAAGGUUGUAAAAUCCUUUUAAGCCUGAGGAAUAAGCACAGUAGGGAAUGAUUGUGUGGUGACUGUAGGGCUUGAAUAAGCACCGGCAAAUUACGUGCCAGCAGCCGCGGUAACACGUAAGGUGCGAGCGUUGUUCGGAAUUAUUGGGCGUAAAGGGCAUGUAGGCGGAUGAGCAAGCUUGGUGUGAAAUGCUACAGCUUAACUGUGGGACAGCAUUGAGAACUGCACAUCUUGAAUUACUGAAGGGUAACUAGAAUUCCACGUGUAGGGGUGAAAUCUGUAGAUAUGUGGAAGAAUACCAAUGGCGAAGGCAAGUUACCGGCAGAUAAUUGACGCUGAGGUGCGAAAGUGCGGGGAGCGAACAGG
rnacentral:rRNA from 1 species